rnacentral:rRNA from 1 species
UACGUAGGGUGCAAGCGUUAAUCGGAAUUACUGGGCGUAAAGCGUGCGCAGGCGGUGAUGUAAGACAGAUGUGAAAUCCCCGGGCUCAACCUGGGAACUGCAUUCGAGACUGAAUAGCUAGGGUACGGUAGAGGGAAGUGGAAUUUCCGGUGUAGCGGUGAAAUGCGUAGAUAUCGGAAGGAACAUCAGUGGCGAAAGCGACUUCCUGGACCAGUACCGACGCUCAGGCACGAAAGCGUGGGGAGCAAACAGG